rnacentral:rRNA from 1 species
UACAGAGGUCCCAAGCGUUGUUCGGAUUCAUUGGGCGUAAAGGGUGUGUAGGUGGCGCCGUAAGUCGGGUGUGAAAUUUCGGAGCUUAACUCCGAACCUGCAUUCGAUACUGCGGUGCUUGAGGACUGGAGAGGAGACUGGAAUUCAUGGUGUAGCAGUGAAAUGCGUAGAUAUCAAGUGGAACACCAGUGGCGAAGGCGAAUCCCUGGAAAAUACCUGACACUGAGGCACGAAAGCUAGGGGAGCAAACAGG